rnacentral:lncRNA from 1 species
GAUAGAGAAGCCCCCAAACUGGCAAGCAAAGACCAUCAUCCCUAACCAUGGCCAGGUUUCUUCAGCACAGUGGAGUGAGAUUAAGCAUGUAACACCUCAUCCAAGUUACAGACUGUGCAUUAGUAGAAGAAAAGAUCAUUUGGAACCAAGAAAGGAAAUACUGAAGCUGGAAGAAAGAUCUUCCCAUUUUUAAAGCAAUGUUUUCAAAGAACCCCAAGACCUGGUACUGUGGGUUGAAUUGUGUUCCCCAAUAAAAUAUAUUGGAGCCCUACCUCA